rnacentral:rRNA from 1 species
AGCGGCGGAUGGGUGAGUAACACGUGGGGAACCUGCCCCUAAGUCUGGGAUACCAUUUGGAAACAGGUGCUAAUACCGGAUAAUAAAGCAGAUCGCAUGAUCAGCUUUUGAAAGGCGGCGUAAGCUGUCGCUAAGGGAUGGCCCCGCGGUGCAUUAGCUAGUUGGUAAGGUAACGGCUUACCAAGGCGACGAUGCAUAGCCGAGUUGAGAGACUGAUCGGCCACAUUGGGACUGAGACACGGCCCAAACUCCUACGGGAGGCAGCAGUAGGGAAUCUUCCACAAUGGACGCAAGUCUGAUGGAGCAACGCCGCGUGAGUGAAGAAGGUUUUCGGAUCGUAAAGCUCUGUUGUUGGUGAAGAAGGAUAGAGGUAGUAACUGGCCUUUAUUUGACGGUAAUCAACCAGAAAGUCACGGCUAACUACGUGCCAGCAGCCGCGGUAAUACGUAGGUGGCAAGCGUUGUCCGGAUUUAUUGGGCGUAAAGCGAGCGCAGGCGGAAAAAUAAGUCUAAUGUGAAAGCCCUCGGCUUAACCGAGGAGCUGCAUCGGAAACUGUUUUUCUUGAGUGCAGAAGAGGAGAGUGGAACUCCAUGUGUAGCGGUGGAAUGCGUAGAUAUAUAGAAGAACACCAGUGGCGAAGGCGGCUCUCUGGUCUGCAACUGACGCUAAGGCUUGAAAGCAUGGGUAGCGAACAGGAUUAGAUACCCUGGUAGUCCAUGCCGUAAACGAUGAGUGCUAAGUGU